UUCGUCUGUUUGUUACUGCAUGUUCUUGCCAUUCUUAUCUCUCGUAAAUAAUUUAUACUUAUUAUAUGGUUGAGAAACAAAUGAUAAAAAUAUGUACUUAAGAAUAUGUAAAUCUUUUUAAUAAAUCUUAAGAAAGAUUUUAAAAGUCAAGGAAAUCAAUAUUAGCUGUGCGUUAAAAUUUCCUCUUGCCUGUUAACAAGGAUGCAAGAGGAAUUCAUUGGAGUCAAACACGACUCCGCCAAGCACAUGUAACUAUCUUGAAUCUUUCCUUCCUGAACGUCGUACAUCCUUCGCAAAGAAGCCAACUUGUUUGGCUCGCGCAGUCAGCCUCCUUACAUGGGUAUGCCUCGCUAACGAUUAGAUUGAAUUAGGUUAGAAGUGAGAUCCAUUACCGCUACAUCGCCUUAUACUUGUCUUAGGGAUCUAGACUCUUGACGUAAAGGAAAGAAAAACUAUUCUCAGCAUUCCUAACGCGGACGAUUCACUUAUCCGUUCGGAGGUUUAUAUGUCACGUCAUAAAUACAAUCAAAGGCUUUAUUUUGCCUGACAUUUCUUCGUGCCAAGGAAAAGUUCUUUAAAACGAAAGCAAAACACAUAUACAUAUACAAAUAUACUCUCUCUCUCUAUGUCUAUACUUUCCAUUGACACCAAUUCUAAAUUAUGUCGACAAUUUACGAACCAAGAAUCUAUUUAAUAUUACUAUUUUAGAUCGUUGCUACAUGUAGGAAGAUAUACGGAUAACACACGCAACGAUAAUUUACGUAGAAUUCUCUUGAAUACAAGGGAAGAUAUAUCCUUUGAAGUUCGCAUACAUUGAAAAAGAAUUCGUCAAAAUGUUCUAUUUCGCUUACGAAAGCAAGAAAUAUUUUCCGGCAUAGUGAAUUCGUUCGAGCAAUAUCUAUUUUCAAAGGACAACGACGAUAGAUGCAACAUCGAACGAUCUAUCUCUACUGGGGAGUGCGGUGAUUUACAUACAACAAGGUACCGCAAUGAUUGCUCUCGGAAUAUAUUAACCUGCGUGCUCUAGAUAAAGGUAGAUCGUUGUGCUCGGCCGGACUUAAACGUUCACUAUAUCAUUGCCCAACACGUGGACAAAGUCGUAAUGUAAGAGAGUGACGUUGAGGAAACGAAAGAGAAUGUGUUUUAAUUAUUAUUGAUCUAAGAAAAAAUUACGAUCGUUUAUCUUUAUCUAUCAAGUGUUGUUGAUUAUCUGACGUUAAAAAAGUUUUUCUUCUUUUUAUUUAUUCGUUUUUUUUUAAUUUUUUCUGAUUCAAUAUACAGAGAUUAUCUCGUUUUCUCUUUAUCUUUAUCUAUUUUUCUAGUCAGUUAUACACUCUCUUCUCUCUUCAAAAUGUUCUCUGUAGUCUUCCAUCGUAUCUCUUAUCAGUACCAGCUUCAGGCGAACAUUUUCCAUUCUAAAGUCUAUUAUAUUAAUUCUUAUUACUUCUUUGUUCGUUGCUUAUCGUAGAAGAAUGAAAAUGAACUAAAAAGGCCACAAUUUCGGUAAAUCGACGAUGUGAAUAGUAUUAAAAACGAUUGCAUAAGUGAAUCAAGUUUUAGAGAACAUAUAUAUAUAUAUAUAUAUAUAUAUAUAUAUAUAUAUUCAUCAAAUAUCCACGUAUUGCUUUUAAAGUUAUCGAGAUUAUUCGACUUAUAGAAUCUUCAAUGCGAUAGAACCAUCUCAACGAUAUCGGAGUCGAAAGUUUUUCGAGAGAUUACGAGAGUUGAAGAGAAAAAAGAAAAAUUUUGACGAGUCCCUGGAGAAUGCGAGACUGAACGUAUAUAUCUAAGAUAAAGAGGUACCACUAAAUUUAUGAGUUACGAGUUUGUACAAGUAUAAAACAUCGCGUUACAAUAAAAUUGGAAGCAUUAUCGUGGAUAAAAUGUUCACUGCGAUUCUGCAAAUAUAAAAUCGUGAUCGUAUCUUUUAUACUUUGGAACUGUUCUCUUCAUUUCGAGUAUACAAUACAAAUACUUUUAUUAUUGAAAAGAAUAUAAAUGAUAUCUACGAUAAUGCGAUGACGUGUGCUUCUUUACAUAUAUAUAUAUAUAUAUAUAUAUAUAUAUAUAUAUAUAUAUAUAUAUGUAUUGGGAUCGAUACAUAUCAGGAUUUAAUAAACGCUGCUGCUUGGCUCGCUUUUAUUCAUUCGAAAUACAUAGGAAUAACAUAUUAAUGUACAAAUAAAUUAUAUAUAUAUAAUAUUCAAUACAUGCAUGCACACGUAUUUUGGUAACGGAUGCUUUACAAUAAUAUGAUACAAUUCGUUCGUUUAUAAUUUCUCGACGUAUGACAUCGCAUUGUUUGCCGAUAUUUGCUGAAAAUGGACUUCCUUUAUCCGAUCAAUGAGGACAUUCGAAAGUCAUACUUGCGUGAAUAAUGAAGACUGACAGGACGAAUAUUAUACACAAAUUGCUAUUCCGAACCGAUACGUCUCACCGUCUGUACGGAAGAAACGCGACGAGGUCGACCAGGGAAAAUAGGAGUAUGCAUUUUUAUGUGAGAUUAAACGGCUACGUUCUCAAAAAGAUUUGACGUAACCAAGAAAUAUCAGGUAAAUCAGAUGAAUUAUUAACGAACAUUUUUAUACUCGAACAAAGUUACAUAAAACGAACAAAAAUCGUUGAAAUUUGUUUGAAUUGUUGUUGUGUGAACCGUCGGAAUAAUUAUGAUUCGAAAUAGAAUCUUUCCAGAAUAGAAAAAAGAAAAGAAAUAAUAAUUUCUUGAGAGUAUGAUAACGAAGAUAAAUGAAGGAUGAAUCAGCGGAGAAAGAGGAACGUAAUCCGGGAGUAAGUUCGUUCGAGGUUUUAACUGUCACGCGUGCUUCCCCUUGAUAGUCGAUUAACCAGGAUGCUCGCGAAUCACGAUUUAUACGGGAAACGCUCCACGAAAUUAUGGCCUCUCGGAUUUCCGUAAUGCCAAGAUUUGCUGCUCUUGAAGCCACCUAAUCCAAGCGCAUGCCGGAAGAUCCUCUUAUCUUAGGGCCACGUUCUUCGAGGAAGGAGAAAAGGGGAGGAAGGUUGGCCUGGAAAGGCAAGAAAGUAAGACGAUUACUUUAGGCAUAGUGCAACGUAAAAACUCUUAAGCAAGGGGGAACAUUACGCGAACGAGUAUACCUUUAAUUAUACUUUAUAUUACCAAGAAUCUUACAACGUCUCGCAAGCCGGAAGGUAAUUACGCAGAAGCCUCCUCUCCUCGCUCGAAUAACUCCUCUUCGAAUCCUUCGAAGGGAUAUCCAUAAUCGUGAAUUCCCAGCCACGUCCGUUCUCUUUUCUUUUUAUUUUUUAUUCUUUUUCCUUUCAAGCCAGACGUCGAAGAAAUCAGGCCGGUCCGUAAUUUCAGAAAUAGCUAUCGGAACUGCUAAGUUCUCGUGGCGUUCUCCCAAGAAAACAAAAGUUCGGAGACGCCCUGUGAGAGAACUCUGGCAAUUUCUGGCUCGUCCUGUCCAAGGUGAACGAGUAGCCACCUGCUAGAUUACGAUCCUGACAGUAUAACCUUCGGAAUCGUAUUAUCUAUCGGUAUACGAUCCCAAUCCGAAUGACUUAUCGCGAAAGGGAUAUUUCUCGAUCUCAUCUAGAUCUCAUCGACAUCGAUAAUCCAUCGAUGAGUUCUCCGAAGAAAAAUCUAUGAACAAUAUAAUCCCUUCGAUUAAUGCAAAUUCCGUCGUCAUAAUUUAACAUCAAAUGUAUUAAUAUAAAAUAUCCUAUCGUCGGACGAUCGGUAGUGUCGAUUUCGAAAGACCACUCUUCGGGGAAUCGGUGUCUCGUAAGUAAAAAACCACACAUUCCACGAAUUCAUUUUUAAAAGAUGGAUCUUAAUUCUCUUUAAUCCUGUUACCAGAAAAUACCUAAUAUGAAAUGUCCAGAUGCUUCGCCGAUGCACGCGAUCACGAUUUCGUCCUUGAUCGAUCGAUUGAUCGACUUAGACAUAAGUAGACGUUUUCUUCUUUUCCGACCACAGAAUAUCGAAAAGAGGAUCUAGUUAUUCGAUAUACGCGUCUUAAGACGCGUGCUUGUGCUCAAGAUGCGAAUACUAAAGAAAAGGAUAAGUUCAAAUGUCUUAUUUUGUCUCUUUCUCUCUCUUUCUCUCUCUCUCUCUAUCGUCCCUCCUUUUUGUAAAAAUAUUAGGAAGUAUAAUAAUCGAACUGUCAGAAAGAUGAAGAUAUCUGGAAAAUAUUAAAUUAUCUAAAAAGGGUAGUUUUUACCUUCUACUAAAUUUCAAAAAGGCUAUUGAAGUCGUCCUAUCUUCAGAAGCAGAAAAGUAAUAUCGAUUUUGAGCUACAUAUUUCCAGUUUGAUUUCAGAUUCCGCUAUAUCUCGUUUAAAUCUUUUCCUUUUAAGAUAAGAUAAUCGGAUUAAGUGUCCCCCAUCGAUGUAAUAAAAUUUACCCUAUCGUAGCAUCCGAAUGAAUUUUCACGGAACUUAAAAUUAUUACUAUCAAAGUCGCAACGGGUCAAUCAUUGUUUUAUCUAAGACAAUUUAAGAUAAUUUUACGUCGUUCUCUUUAAAAUCAAUAAAUAGCCUUAAGUGGAACAAAAGAGAGACAGAAAAAGAAAGAGAGAGAGAGAGAGAGAGAGAGAGAAAAAAAAAGAAAAUCGGUAAGUACUUUUUCCGGAAUUUCCUCUCUUGAUAGGUUCGUCGAGCGAAUAGCGGCUCUUUUAGGAAAGGUCUGCUGAUGCAUCUUAUGUCAGAAUUUUCUUCGAAGCAUCAAAUCAAAGAUCGAUUCGACGGCAUUACUCGACGUAGAUGUAGAGGGAGAGUCCUUAACACCAAGCUACUUGAUUUACUGCUUCCUCUCGUAUGGAUCUCGUCGUUGCUGCCGCAGCUGCAGCAGCAGCAGCAGAAGCAGCAUAGAGGCAUCUGCGGUAGAAGUCAGAGAGAGAGAGAGAGAGAGAGAGAGAGAGAGAGAGAGAGAGAGAGAGAAACAGAAGCAGGAACGAAGACAGGAGAGGACCAUUUCAACGUAGAAUUGUGCUGAGUUCGUGCGGGCAAGGCAACGUACGAGUGAUUUGCAUGCGAGCGAGCUGUGAGAAAGAGACAAGGAUAUCACGAGAGAUAUGAGAGAGAUGUGUGAGAGAGAGAGAGAGAGAGAGAGUGAAAGAUAUAACAGGGCGGUUAAGCCACUCGACGCCGUGCUGUGUCCGACCGGCUCGGUGGACGAUAAUUAACAGGUUCCGUAAACGCUGUACGAAAUCGACGAAUCUGAGUUCCUUUCUACUUCCAACACAAACUCCCUUCUACGUUAGUAUCCGAAUAGAGGCCGCGUGAACGAAGAGUGUUUACGAUUCGUUAUUGCCAUGUUCCCAACAAUAAAUUUCAAGCCUCCGAGUCACCGCCGUCGGCUUUAGCGCCGACUACGAAUCACGGAUUAUACUCUGGAUAUGUUAUAUAUCACCUCUUUCUCCUCUAGGACAGAAAAAGACAGAGAGAAAGAGAGAGAGAGAAAGAGAGAGAAUGAAAGAGAAAGAGAGAAUGAGAGUGAGAAAGAGAGAGAGAGAACUGUUGCCAGACAAUUGUUAUAUGAUCAUCCUGUGGUAACGUUUAUAUAUAUACUUGUUGUACAUCAGACGUGUUACUAUCCUUGACAAACGACGGAAAACAUUUCUUGUAACUUUCGUUAACUCGUCUUCUCUUUACAAUCAUUUAAUUUCUAGGAAUAUCUAAGUGAUUCUUAAUGCAAAUUCAUUGGUGCUAAGCUGCAAAAUGUUUCGUAAUGUUUCAUUGAAUUUUUGAAUAAAGAUAUGUGGAAAAUUU